AGAAAAUGAAAAGAAAGGUAUAAGCUUUACACCAUCUAAUUGAGAAAUGCAGCGCAAUUUGCCAGCCAAUAUCCACAAUCACCAGGAGAAUCUGGUACUGUAUAUAAGUUCAGGACUCUGAAAUAUUUGGUAGUUGAGAUAGAAUUAACCUACUUCUUUAUAUGUAUAUCUGCACGGAUCCUGAGUGUUCAAGGUCCCCGAUGCUUCCGGAAACAGAAACAGCCCUGUUGUUGAUCAACAGGGAUCAUUCCCCCGCCUUUGGAUGUGUCAAUAGCCUCUAUCAUGGAUACUACCUCAUCCAUCUCAGGUCGCUUAUCAGGAUUAGCGUCCCAGCAUCGUUUCAUCACAUUAGCUAGGGAACUUGGGCAACAUCUUGGUAUUUCUGGCCUCAAAUUCUGGCGAACCACGGCUGAA
rnacentral:misc_RNA from 1 species